GAUCUGUAAGCUCUUACAGCAGGUCAAUAUCAGCAGCUUUAGAGAAUUUUCUUUCCAGUAUUGUAACAGUGUCCUUAAAAUUCUAUUGCAUUGCAAAAUCCCUGCAUUUAAAGACAACAGCUAAAACUAAAAGACAUUUACUGUGUUAUUUAGAGCCUUCACGCUUACAAUCCCUGAAUAUCAGUGAAGCUUUCCUGUCCUUCGACAGUGACAUCACAGUAAUGUGGUGGUUAGCGCUGUUGCAUCACAGCUCUUGUGUCCUGGAUUCAGUUCCUGUGUAGAGUUUCCAUACGCUCCCUGGGUACCCAGGUAUUCCCAGACUACUCUGGUCACCUCCCAACUUACAAAGACAUGGCGUCUAGGUCAGUUGAUGUCAGUGAAUUGUAUCCUUCCUGUGACCUCUGCUUCCAGGACAGGCUCCAGGUGGCCUGGACCAGGAAUAAGCGCCUUUCUAAAAAUGGAUGGAUGGACGAAGACUGUACUAUGCUAAGGACAAUCUAGAGAUCGUCCAAUACUUUUCAGGGCAGCUUACAGAUUCCCUUGUGUGUCUUGAAAGGCCUCAUCUGUUGUCAACAGACAGGAACAGAUGCACAGCUAAGGGUUGUGUCAAGUACUCCAAAUGACAAAGGUCAUUAAAAAGCAGCGAAGCAGGCUGAUGGCACUUACAUUGUGUUGAAGUACAAAGACGUAUAAUAAAUACAGAUUUAUUAAGUAGGGGUGUUUAAUCCUCUGCCAAAAUCUUCUGUGUAAGUUUUCUCAUCCUACGGUCUGAUAUUCAUAUGAAUGUUCAAUAAAAGAACAAUGGAAAGCAAAACCUAUU
rnacentral:lncRNA from 1 species